GGGUUAAGUCCUCCUCUUUAGCAUAAGAGGGACCACAGCUGCAUGCAUGCCUUCAGCACAGAGCAGGGAGUGCUGGGACAGGGACAGCUGCCAUUAAUUAAGGGAUUCCCUUACACACCACAAAAUGACUUUUCUCCAGCAGCCUUGUUUGGCUGUGUGGAGGCUGAACUUGGGAUGGAGGCUGCGCUCCGAUGGCUGCUCCGUGCGAUGGGAACGGGCGUCUGGAACGGCGGCAGGAGCCGCGUGAGACCCUUGGCAAUGGAGAGAGAUUGCAGUGCAAGCACUUUUCUGGAUUACUCUGUCACCGAUGUCAAAUCAAAGCAUCAAGGAUAUAAAUCUUCAGUAAACAUCUGGCCUCACUUCAGCCAGGUUAUGCAAUGCCUCAAGUACAUUCAGCAGCAGAUUAUGCUGCGUUCUCCAUUUGUGCAAUGCAAGCUAAUGUGAAUAUCAAGUCACAUCAGUGGUCUAGACAAGUAGUUGGGAGAUAAAGACAGCAACCCAAAGCGGGAAGUUUGGCCUCUCAGGUAAGAUUACACUUUAAGUUCAAGGCUGCCAGCUGUCCAACAUUCAGAGGGUUAGGGGAACUACUCACAUUUUGGGGCUGGAAACUUCAAAUCUCCUUCUACCAGGAAAGCAUUGCAAACAGCCCCUGUGGGUGUUUAUAUGGAACUGCAGCACAGUAACACAGCAGUGCUCUGGCUGUGCUGGGAUGCAGAAAUUUGGAUUCCUCUAUCCUUUUCUUAGAUAUUUUUCAGAUAAACAACAUCUCUUUCUCCCACUUGUAAUCACAUUGAUGAGCUUCACUUGUCAAAGCUGGAGCUCAAGGUGUGCCAUGGGGCUCAGAAGGAGGAAAAAUGGAAGAAAAACCUUCAGGGAAAAAAAAGGAAAGAGAUAAGCAAUAGGAUUUCAGUCAAGAACUGAGGCCGAUUUUGGUUUUCCUGGUAAUGGAUUUGUUUGAAGAGAAUAUAUUUAAUCUAUAGAUCCAACCUGGGAUUACAUGGAAAGGUCACUCAAAUCCGCUCGUCCUCCCCAUCUCUCAUUUGUGUUUGACAUCAGCAAAGCCGGAAUUUUAAUAUUUGUUAUAUUUGGGGCAGAUGAUCCACCCAGACAGAAUCGAGGAUUAGGAAUUAAUUUUGUAAAGCAUUAUAUAAAAACACAACAAAAUUUGACCCCGGCUCCAACUCUCUCAGUCCACUUGAGUCUAAUUGUAAAAGCAGGAUCAAAAUGUAAAGAGAAGCAAAUGUUAUUGGUGCUAGUAGAUGUUUUUGCUUUUGCCUCUUCCCUUGUCCAAGAGCUUCUGUACACAGAGGUACACAGAAGCACUGAGGUAGCAGAGGGCUGCUCUCUGAUAGUUUGUACCAAACUCUCUCAUUCUGAUGGUUUGUACCAAACAAGAUUAUCAGGAGCAAUAAGAACGACCCCAGCUGUUGUCUGCUGGUAGAAACCUUUUAAACGGAACAAGGACAGAAAGUUAUUCAAUAAUUACAAGGAAGGAAGAGCACAUGGCUUGAAGUGACUGGCUGGUAAUCACUUCCUGCUGUGAGCAGUUUUGUCCUGACCAUACGACACGUGAAGAAAAAUAAGAAGCAUGCAUAAAGAAAUCAGCGUAGUUUCAUAAAUGGAAAAGCAGAAAGUUCAUUCAAAGAUAAAUAACACAGCCAGCAUGACGUGAAAUCCCAUUGUUUUAAUACAAUAUCUACUUUAAUUGUAUCGGCUGUUUAAAACAAUGAAGAAUGUGCAAAUAAUCAUUUUUCCUAUCACUGUGGUGCUUCUCGUGUGUAUUUUGAAAACAUUUCUUAUCUGGUUUGCUUGUACAGCUCCAACUUAAAGGUCCCCAUGUUCCAUCAAGGUAUUGUCUCGUGACAGCUUUGUUGGUAUUCUCAGCACUGCUUGGGCACGGUGGCUGAUCUUUCAUCAGAAACUGUAAAGGAAGGAAGUGGGCACGUCAAGGGAAAACUGACAUGUCACUGAAGACCCAGAAAGAAAGAAUGCCAGAGAAGAGGUAAAUCAUAGAAAAGCCUAAGCAUCACCUCUGCUCAGAUGGUAAGCCUUUGGAAUAAUAGCUGUGCUAAGCUUUAUAGAAGUCAUUAAAAACCCUUUGUGAUACUUGAACUCUGCUACUGAAAAAUAGUUGUUUCCACCCAGUGUUAAUAAAUAGAUGUUUGAAGCGCAAGCUGAGCUAAUGUGAAUUCAUGCUCAACUGUGCGUGUCAUGUUUGGAUGUAAACAUCCUUUUCACAUUGUACCAUACCACCCCAGUGCUGCUGUGCUUUUCAUGCAUCUCUGUGGCAUUUACAUCUCAGCUAUCAUUUGGUAGCGUAAAACGCUUGUACUAAAAUGCACUGCCUUUCAAUUGGGCUGGGAGUGUCUAAGUACAUCUAUAUGUAGCCCAGGUAAGUUUUACAGUUGAGCCAACUUGCUCUGAAAUUGCAGCUUUCUUUCCUAAAAAUACUAAAAAGGUUUUUUUUUUUUCCACCUUGUGUCCUUUGAAGGAAGGAAGAAAAAAAAAAAAAAAAAAGCCAGACCCAAACCUUGCCCACCUGGGCAUCCUGCGUGGGAUGGAAUCCAGCCCUGCACUGCCCAGCAAUGGGUCUCCUCCCUGCUUUGUGCAAAGGAAGAUUAAGCAGAAGGGAUAAGAAAAGACAGGGGAAAAAAUGCACUUCUUUGCAGUAAACACAGCCUGCAGCCAUUGGUUUCUCUCAGCAUUGGAUGGCAAUUAUUUCUGUGUAAUAAGCAGUCACCCGAUGACCCUCCCCUUCAGCUUGCAACGCUUCUGCUGUCAAGUGUUAAUCCCUUUGUUAGCUACUCAGCUGCACAUUCAUUUAGGAGGACUAAUGACUUACACUGUUCCUUCUCUGCACGAUUUCAGCAGACGUGUAAUUAGAGGUGAAUGGCAGCUUCAGAGUGAAAGCCAUCGAGGUCUGCAACAUCUCGAGAAACAUCCUGCGGCUCUUACACCAUGGGAAGAUGUCCUUUUGAAGUGCAAGUGAAUCCCUGUGUAUGUAUUAACAUCACAGGAUGGAGCAGAAAAGUAUAACAGGGAGCUGAGGUCCUGAUGGAUUUCAGUGUGUCUGCAGCCCAGGGCUCCCUCCUCUUGUCUGUUCUGGAGCGCGGUGUCUCUCUCCUUCACCCCCCUUGUGCAGACGCACAUCAGUGGCUGAUACAACAACCGUGUUGAAGAACAGCAACUUCCAUUCUCUUGGUUGGUUGGGAGGUAAGCAGAGUGCUAGUUCUAUGAAUUAAGAUAACACACCUGCACCAGCGCUUUGAAUUCAGGGGCAUCAUUUCAUUAAAAAUGACAAAACAGAAUAAAUCAAUAACUAAUUAAAAAUGGCUUUAAUUCAGUCUAGGCUUAUGAUCUAAUAUCUCACACAGUUGUCUAAUACAAUUAUAAACAUAAUUUCAUGCCUAAUGAAAUAUAAAUGAAGCAAAAAAGAACAGCAGACUCCAAAGAAACUUCUCCAUCGGUUGCCUUUGUGGCCCCUCCACCCUACCUGCAUCUCUGUCCCAUCCGUUAGGAAGCGAACAGCCAUCAUGAUACAGUCUUAUCACUCAUACAAAGCCUUAUUAUUUCUCUGGUCUUCCCCCGCAAAGCGCUGAAGAGGAACUCGAGCAGCCUCAGAGAUGACACACGUUGGGCUUCCAUCUCCGCAGCCAUGCAGCUGUGUCACCACCGUUGCUGUGCAGCCAGCAGGGACAGGACACGGUGUGGCUGACAGCCCUGGGGAUGAGGACAUCCAGUUCUGAGGGACUUGCGGUCUGCUGCUGUCUGGCAGUGCUCAGUGGUGUCCUUCUGAAAAACCUUGUGUGCAAUUACAUGGCUCACAGCUACACACAGGUAGAGCCGGGUGAACACCAUUUCUCAUCUAUGUAUUCCAAGAGCAUCAAUGGUGCCCAUCCUCACUGUAUGCCUCCAGCAUGGGAGGGAGAGGAUUAAUUAAAUGGACCUCAGAACGCUGCCUCUGCUUGCCACCCUUCGUAUGUCUGAACUGGAGCCCAUCAGUCAGCCUCUGUUGGUGCCGCUGGAACACCAGGGCAGUGCUCGGGACAUCAGACAAACCUGUGGGAGGGGAAGACAGUUACAGUUUGAUUUUUUGGAUGCUUGAGGUGAAGAAACAGGCUCUGCCCAUGCAGUCACAGAUGGGACCUUAUGAGAUAUUGGUCAUGAAGUGCCAUCAUGGAAGAAGCUCAAGCUUCAGGAAUUCUAAGCAUCACCGGUCCAAACAAAUUUUGAACUUUCAAGCUGGGAAGGGAGAAAGCAUUUUCUUUUUGAUUUUACUCCAGCUAAAGCACAUCGGGCUGAUCCUGCUUUUGACAGUGCAAGUACUGAAGUCAGUCCUGCACCACCACCAGUUCACAGACUGGAAAAGUGGAGAAACACCUGCUUGCUGCAGAGGAUCUGCUAAGGAAGUCCAAAGGGAAACUAUGCACAGAGGGGAAGAGCAGAUGCCAAGUGAAACAGAACCAUGUGGGUCAUCGUUAUGCUGUUCCAGGUUCUCUUUGUCCUUAGCAGACAAUCUGGGACUGCCUUGCCUUCAGAUGUCCAAAUUUUAGGCAGUUGACUUUCAGAGAGAUGAACAUUACACAAUACACGUAUUUGCUUUUGAGAGCAAAACUGUGUUUUUACCUCAACAAACGCCCUAUUUUCCUGCCAAAUUCUUCCCUCUGUGUGGGACCAACGUGCACAUGGAGCCAAGGAACGCAGGAGAAAUGGUGUCAGCGGACACAGAGGUGAAGAAUAAGGUGCCAAUCAAUAAACCAGUAAUUAGCUCUGUUUGGCAGGCUGGGGGUGUUUGGGUUUUGGUAUUUUGCUGUUGCGUUUUUUUUUUUCCUGCUGGUUUUGAAAGAAGUUUGCUUAUCUAAGUUUUAUAACCACUUAAAUGAAUCCCAGCUCUGUUCAAAUCAAUGAAAGCUUUUGCGAGACAGCUGUAAUUUUAUGUGCAUGUGUUUCAGUAAAUUAGAGGGUUUAGCCUUAAGGAUUCACUUUAGUGUAAUCUACUAAAAAGAUAAGUAGAGCCAGAUGCAGUGUCUUACAACCGCUGGACAGUCGCAACUGGAGCGACAGCACUGACAGCAACUUUAUGGCUUUCCUCAUAGGGAGCAGAUUUCCUGACUCAAAAAGAGCAGUAUUUUACAUAAAUAGUUGUCAAUAUUUUGUAUUUACGAUGCAAAGAAAGAAGGGUGCAAAUAGUGAAAAAAUGAAAUAAAAUUAG
ensembl:lncRNA